AGGCGCUCUUGUCUUCUCCUUCUCUGCAUCUUAUCCAUUCCUCUCCUCCCCAUUCUCUCUGGUAGCACUCUCAGAUCCAACCCUCAGCGACGGCCAUUAGAAGCUUGCCAUGGAAGCUAUGAAGACCGCCGCCGACUGACUCUUCCCCAUGAUCCAUGAUUUUUUCUGCCGACCCGCCUAGCAGUUCUUCUACCACCGGUCACCAUCGUCUUCCUCAAGUCCAGACAAUGGCUUCUGUUCCAAUUUCAUCUAAGAUCCUGCUUGAUGCUAUGUUAGAGAAGGUUGGCCUGCCAGGGGCCACCUACUCAGCAAGCCCAACAGAUGGUUCCCGUCUGCAAGUCACUGUUACCUUCUAUCCAAUCAAGAUCAGGCUCAAGCGUUCACCUGUCAAGGUUUCCAUUUCUACCUCGGAGCACCAAGAUCUUGAGGAAGCUCAAGAUUAUGUAGCUGC